UACGGAGGGGGCUAGCGUUGUUCGGAAUUACUGGGCGUAAAGCGCACGUAGGCGGCUUUGUAAGUUAGAGGUGAAAGCCCAGGGCUCAACCCUGGAAUUGCCUUUAAGACUGCAUCGCUUGAACAUCGGAGAGGUAAGUGGAAUUCCGAGUGUAGAGGUGAAAUUCGUAGAUAUUCGGAAGAACACCAGUGGCGAAGGCGACUUACUGGACGAUUGUUGACGCUGAGGUGCGAAAGCGUGGGGAGCGAACCGG
rnacentral:rRNA from 1 species